rnacentral:rRNA from 1 species
AUUGAACGCUGGCGGCAUGCUUUACACAUGCAAGUCGAACGGAAGCGCGGGCUUCUGCCUGGCGGCGAGUUGCGAACGGGUGAGUAAUACAUAGGAACGUGACCAGUAGUGGGGGAUAGCACGGCGAAGGGCGGAUUAAUACCGCAUACGACCAUAGGGUGAAAGCGAGGGAUCUUCGGAGCACGCGCGAUUGGAGGUGCCGAUGGCAUAUUAGCUAGUUGGUAGGGUAAAGGCCUACCAAGGCGACGAUCCGUAGCAGGUCUGAGAGGCCGACCAGCCACACUGGAACUGAGACACGGUCCAGACUCCUACGGGAGGCAGCAGUAGGGAAUCUUCGACAAUGGGCGAAAGCCUGACGCAGCAAUGCCGCGUGUGUGAUGAAGGCCUUCGGGUCGUAAAGCACUUUUAGUGGGAACGAAAAAGAGUGUAACAAUACAUCCACUCCUUGACGGUACCCGAACAAAAAGCCACGGCUAACUACGUG